AUCGAUGAAGAACGCAGCGAAAUGCGAUAAGUAAUGUGAAUUGCAGAAUUCAGUGAAUCAUCGAAUCUUUGAACGCACAUUGCGCCCCUUGGUAUUCCGGGGGGCAUGCCUGUUCGAGCGUCAUUUCAACCCUCACGCGUAGCGUGGUCUUGGGCUCUGCCGGUGACGGCUUGCCUUAAAAUCAGUGGCGGUGCCAUCGGGCUCUACGCGUAGUAAUAAAACCCUCGCGUGUGAGUUCCGGCGGACGCUGGCCAGCAACCCCCAAUUUUUUAUGGUUGACCUCGAAUCAGGUAGGGAUACCCGCUGAACUUAAGCAUAUCAAUAAGCGGAGGAAAAGAAACCAACAGGGAUUGCCUCAGUAACGGCGAGUGAAGCGGCAACAGCUCAAAUUUGAAAUCUGGCUCUUUCAGGGUCCGAGUUGUAAUUUGUAGAAGAUGUUUCGGGUGUGGCUCCGGUCUAAGUUCCUUGGAACAGGACGUCGUAGAGGGUGAGAAUCCCGUAUGUGACUGGCUGCCUCCGCCCAUGUGAAACUCUUUCGACGAGUCGAGUUGUUUGGGAAUGCAGCUCAAAAUGGGUGGUAAAUUUCAUCUAAAGCUAAAUAUUGGCCAGAGACCGAUAGCGCACAAGUAGAGUGAUCGAAAGAUGAAAAGCACUUUGGAAAGAGAGUUAAACAGUACGUGAAAUUGUUGAAAGGGAAGCGCUUGCAAUCAGACUUGCGCGCGGCCGAUCAUCCGGGGUUCUCCCCGGUGCACUCGGUCGCGUUCAGGCCAGCAUCGGUUUGGGUGGUGGGAUAAAGGCCUUGGGAAUGUAGCUUCUUUCGGGGAGUGUUAUAGCCCUCGGUGCAAUGCCGCCUAUCCGGACCGAGGACCGCGCUUCGGCUAGGAUGCUGGCGUAAUGGUUGUAAGCGACCCGUCUUGAAACACGG
rnacentral:rRNA from 1 species